rnacentral:lncRNA from 1 species
GAGAGCCGGCUCUACCUCGGGGAGGGAGGGGAUGAGAGCUGGGGGGAGCAGCGCGAGGAGGAGGAGGCGGCGGCGGCCGGCGAGGAGCCCGCGCUGGGUCCUGCAGUAGAACUCCCGGGAGCCACCAUCAUGGUGAAGAGGAAGAGCUCCGAGGGCCAGGAGCAGGACGGCAGCCGCGGCAUCCCCCUGCCCAUCCAGACCUUCCUGUGGCGCCAGACCAGUGCUUUUUUGAGGCCUAAAUUGGGGAAGCAAUAUGAAGCUUCUUGCGUGUCCUUUGAACGAGUGUUGGUUGAAAACAAAUUGCACGGGCUCUCUCCUGCCCUCUCUGAAGCCAUCCAGAGCAUUUCCAGAUGGGAACUGGUGCAAGCUGCUCUGCCACAUGUUCUCCACUGUACGGCCACCCUCCUUUCGAACAGGAACAAGCUAGGCCACCAGGAUAAACUGGGCGUCGCUGAGACAAAACUCCUUCACACCUUGCACUGGAUGCUCCUGGAGGCCCCCCAGGACUGCAACAGCGAGCGGUUUGGGGGCACAGACCGAGGAUCCAGCUGGGGUGGCAGUAGCAGCGCUUUCAUCCACCAGGUUGAAAACCAGGGUUCCCCAGGGCCGCCUUGCCAAAGCAGCUCUAAUGAUGAAGAAGAAAACAGCAGAAGAAAGAUCUUCCAGAACUCCAUGGCUACUGUGGAGCUCUUUGUGUUCCUGUUUGCUCCCCUGGUACACAGGAUCAAGGAGUCUGACCUCACCUUCCGACUGGCCAGUGGUCUUGUUAUAUGGCAGCCGAUGUGGGAGCACAGACAGCCUGAGGUCUCUGGCUUCACAGCUCUGGUAAAGCCCAUCAGGAACAUCAUUACAGCCAAGAGAAGUUCUCCUAUCAACAGUCAAAGUCAGACCUGUGAAUCACCAAAUCAAGACACAGGAUAUGGAGAGGGACUUCAGGUGGUCUGUGAAACAUUCCAGUCUGAUUCCAUCUCACCCAAGGCCACAAGUUCAGGCUGUCACCGAGUAAACUCGUUUGAUGGAAGCCUGUCCUCCCAGACUUCCCAGGAAAGAGGGCCAUCCCAUUCCAGGGCCUCUCUUGUGAUACCUCCAUGCCAAAGGUCACGCUAUGCCACCUACUUUGAUGUCGCUGUUCUUCGCUGCCUACUCCAGCCGCACUGGUCUGAGGAAGGCACUCAGUGGUCCCUGAUGUACUAUCUUCAAAGGCUGCGACACAUGUUAGAAGAGAAACCAGAGAAGCCCCCAGAGCCAGAUAUCCCUCUGCUCCCCAGACCCAGGAGUAGCUCCAUGGUGGCUGCGGCACCCUCCUUAGUGAAUACCCACAAAACACAAGAUCUUACAAUGAAGUGUAAUGAAGAGGAAAAAUCUCUUAGCCCUGAGGCUUUUUCCAAGGUUUCAUUGACCAAUCUGCGUAGGUCUGCAGUCCCAGACCUCUCUUCAGACCUUGGCAUGAACAUUUUUAAAAAGGUGAGUAGAACCAUUCAGGCAUUAUGAUAAUUUAGUAAUUAAGAGUCAGUGGGCCCUACUACAGUAUGAGAGGGUGAGAAAAAGAACCAAAAUCAGCUC